GUCAGGAUGGCCGAGUGGUCUAAGGCGCUAGACUCAAGUUCUGGUUCACGUAUGUGGGCGUGGGUUCGAAUCCCACUUCUGACA
rnacentral:tRNA from 1 species